GCCCCCGUAGCUCAGGUGGAUAGAGCGAUAGAUUCCUAAUCUAUAGGCCGCAUGUUCGAGUCAUGCCGGGGGCACCA
rnacentral:tRNA from 1 species